ACGCUCGACACCUACGGGAGACAGCAGUUGGGAAUAUUGGACAAUGGAGGAAACUCUGAUCCAGUGACGCCGCGUGAAGGAAGAAGGUCUUCGGAUUGUAAACUUAUUUUGUCAGGGAAGAAAAAUGACUGUACCUGAAGAAAAAGCACCGGCUAACUACGUGCCAGCAGCCACGGUAAUCUGAGCGGGCUGGCAAGGC
rnacentral:rRNA from 1 species